UACGGAGGGUGCAAGCGUUAUCCGGAUUCACUGGGUUUAAAGGGUGCGUAGGUGGGCAGGUAAGUCAGUGGUGAAAUCUCCGGGCUUAACCCGGAAACUGCCAUUGAUACUAUCUGUCUUGAAUACCGUGGAGGUGAGCGGAAUAUGUCAUGUAGCGGUGAAAUGCUUAGAUAUGACAUAGAACACCAAUUGCGUAGGCAGCUAACUAGGCUGUAACUGACGCUGAGGCACGAAAGCGUGGGGAGCGAACAGG
rnacentral:rRNA from 1 species